rnacentral:tRNA from 1 species
GCCAGGAUGGCGGAAAUGGUAGACGCGCAGGAUUUAGGAUCCUGUACCGCAAGGUGUGUGGGUUCGAUUCCCUCUCCUGGCA